rnacentral:lncRNA from 1 species
AUUUUACUUGAUUAAUAUCGGCUAGAAAACAUUUUAUUAUUUUGUUCAAAUGUUUAAUUUGAUGUAUAUUUCAGCAUAAAAAUUUAUUCUAUUUCAAAGUAAAUGUUGCCACUCAAAUAACUCUACUGGACUUUUAUAGUCUUCAUAUUUCCAAUAGCACCUAAUAUGAUAAAAGAAACAACGGACAAUAAAGGUAAAAUAAACUAUACAGGUUGCGUACAACUUUUAAUUUUUUUUUGUAGGUACAAUAUUCACAACAGUUUAAUAUGUAACCUGUAAUUAUUUAUUAUUAUUAUUAAGAAAAAAAUUACAGUUAUAGGUAAUAAUAAUAUGACAUAAGUUGUGUUGUCAUUAUGUUUGGUAUCGUUACAUUUUUGAUUACCUAUGGUGGUAGCAUGUUAACUGGCGACUGGCAUGUUUUAUUGUUUAAAGCUAUUAAGUCUAAUUAGUAUUAAUAUUAUUUAUGAAUAUUAGUGUAUUUAAAAUUAUGUAUUGUUUCAGAAUGUUGUCAAGUGAUAAAAAACUAAAACCAUUACAAAAAGCUGUACUCGCAAAACUAAUGGCAGCAAAAAAUUGAAUUUUCAGUGUGUUUGAAUUAAAGCAGAAAAAGGACCAACUUACUUCUAUUGUCAAAUUUGUAAAAACUAAUAUUUUAGGGUAUUGAUUGCUAUACAUAGGCAUUAUAUUUGGAUAAAAUACAUGAAAAAUAUGAAAUUACUCGAAAAUACUUUACAAAUUGAUAAAAUGCCUUAACUUGUAUCUUAGAAAAAUACAGAUAGACUUAAAAAAAGAAGCUGUCUAUGCUCAUCACCAAAUAUAAUAUUUAAUUUAAAACAUCAGAUCGUUUAGUUGUUAUCAUUUAGUAGUUAAAAGUAUUUGUCAUGAAUUUAAAGUCAAAGAAUAAUUAAUGUGCAAUCGAACAAAAGCUACUGUGAUUGUAAAUAACACUAUUAAACUUGAAUCAAUGGAUGACUCUUCAGUGAAACACUUGUAAUUAGUGUUAACUUAAUUGUUAUUGACUUUACAUUAAGAGUUUUACUGUAAGAGACAAAUUUGUUUAGUUCAUCUAAAAUAAGUUCUGCAAAAGUACAAUAUGCACUAUAUGGUAUAAUUAUACAUUUUUUUUUUUAAAUAUAAUUUUAUAUAAAGAAAACUUGGGUUUUUUUUUGAUGGAGUGAGAGAGCAAGUAUUGUAAGGACAACAUCAUUCAGUUAAAACUUUACUUGAAAAGAAUGUCAAAAAUUUAUUUGUAGUAAAAUGUGUUUGCCAUUUUAUUGGCACUUUGCGCCUCAUAAUAUGCUUGUAAUAAAUUACCAAAUGAUGUAGAGUAAUUAGUUAGAGAAGUCUAUAUUUAUUUUCUGUAGUUUACAGUUACAAAAAACAGAAAUAGUUCAGUGAAUUUCAAAUUCAGAUUGAUACUUAAUCCCAUAUAUUGUUAUAGGGCCCCAUUUAGGGUGCUAUUGUAAUUAUUUAUUUAUUUAUUUGUUUGUUUAUCUUCAUUGUCAUUAUUAUUAUUUUUAGACGAAUGUCAUGCGUUAAUAAAUAAAUUGGCAGCUCAAUACUCCAAUGAUCAAUGAUAAUAAUGCUAUUUUAAAAGAAUUUAUAUAAAAUGCUAUGAUGAAGUGCAAGUUUAAUUUUUCAAACUGCUUUCAGUAUAUUUAUAGGUAAGUAAUAAUAUUUAUCACUUUAUAAUGUUCAAACUUGGUACCUUGCUAUUUCAAAUUGAUAACACCAACCGUUUUGUGUCAACAUUUUUGAUUUCUGUCUACCCGUUAACGAGAUAUUCCACUUUUAAGUUUAGGUAGUGGGAGAGUAGUGGAGUAUCAUUUGUGUGAUGGCAUGGCUAGGUUUUAUUAGUGCUCCAUUACUCUCCCCCUACCUAAACUUAAUAGUUGAAUAUCUUGUUAACGGGUAGACAGAAAUCAAAAAUGUUGACACCAUAAUUAAUUUAAAGUAAUACUCUAUCUAUUUAUGGAAUUUUUAAUAUAGGUUCUCAUUUAAAAAACUAAAGUGAUAUUGCCACAUGAUACUCCUUAAAUGUUGUGAAAAAUCUAUGUUCGAAAACAUUGGCUUUAACUACUCUAGCAGUCAGCUAGAAUUUGUUUUCUAGGUAAGUCUUACAUCUUCAAAAAACAUACAUGAGUUUAAGGAUUUCACAUGCUGUUUUUUUUUGCAUUAUGUUUGUACAAUAGUUUAUCUACAAUUCUAUAUGAAUAUUGGACAAAAAUAUUUCAAUGAUUUAAAAUAAUUUUGUUUAAGGGGCUUAACUUGGUAUACUUAUAACAUUUUAAUGACUGUCUUAAAUAUAAGACUUUUCUAAUAAUCUAUUGUUCGAUACCCAUUUAGAGAAGGGGUGUGGUAUUAUUUGAAAAUUACUUUGUUGGAUUAGGGACACCUAACUCGUUACUUACUUAUUAUAUUGAUAACUAUUAUCGUUAUGUAAUGAGAUUAAUUAUUUGUUCAUUUUGUUUCUGCAGAUAGCACUUUAAUUAGAAUUGUAUUAGAAGGUUAGAAUCAAUUUUAUCAGUUUUAUUUGUGCAAAUUACAGAAGAAGCCAAUACACAAUCACAAUUACAUAAAGUACUAUUGGUUAUCUCAUUGUUAUAGUUUUUUUUUAACAAAUUAUGUUUUUUUAAUACAUUUUUAAAUAUAUUUGUUAUACUUCAAUCUAAUAAAAAAUGUGAUAAUAUUUUAUUUGAUUUUAGAAUUUUGGUGUUGUAUUCAGGGGUACUACCAAAUGUAAAAACAUUGAUUCAUUGUCUGUAGACAAUCAAGCUGAUGUUUGUGAAUUUAUCCGCUGCGAAGAUGAUUUAUAAUAUAAUACUACUUAUAUUUGUUUGGUUUUAGUAAGCUCAUUUUUGAAAAUUAUAAUUUUUUAAGAACAACUUGUAAAUGUGAUCCUUAUGAAUAAUGAUAAUCAAUUAAAAAUAUUACAGUAAGUACAUUUGUCUUAAGUGCAUAGACGAAAAUCAAUUUAACUAAUAUCUUAUAGACUUAUAAGAACUUCCUGUUUAGAUUUUCAUAAGUUGUUCUUUUGACAAAUUAUUUUCAAAUCUACUUCAGACAACUGUUUACUUUUAUUCAACAUGCAUUUUGUAAGUCAGACAUACUUAUUUAUAAUCUUAAAAAUCUUUUAGCGUUUAUUAAAUUAAAAAUCUCUUGGUCAUUAUGAUCUUUAAUAAUCAUAAUUCAAUGAUUAAGAAUGGAAUAAUCAUGAUCUACAUAACCCGUUCACAUGCUUAUAUACCCAGUGAUGUAGUUCUGAACGAAUUCAUAGGUAUACACUUAAAUCAUUGAGAAAAUAUAACGUGAGGGGCUUUGUUCCCCCACUAAUUAGUCUAUUUUCCUACAUAUAAUACUUUUUGAAUUUUUUUUCAGCUGUUAGACUUGUAUAUAUUACCUAAAUAAUAAUUGGUACUUAUUGAAACUUAUAAAUUAUAAGUAAUAUAAAAAAAGGAUUAACCUAAAAAAAGACUGUAUAUUGUACAUAAAAUAUAAAUUAACAGAUAAAACCAAAUUUUACCAAAUUUUACAUAGUUUAACUAUUUGAUUAUAAAAUGGUCCGAGUUAUCCAGAGAAGGUUGUAAAGCUAUUGAAAUUCUCAAUCUGAUCAGUAGAAGUUGUAAACCAAACCUGCAGUAAUUUGGACUGGAUACAAAAUGAUCUCCCUAAAGUACCACCUAAAUAAAAUUUCCUUUCAGAAAAGGUGCUACGUUUGAAAAUUUGAGUAAAAUUUCUGGUAGAAAAGUUGUUCACAGAUAAAAAAAAUUAAUACAUUUCUCACUCCGCUCAGAAACUAUAAUACAUUUUUAAAAAUAACUGAUACUAGAGACGAGUGCGGCCACAGUUGUGAGUGGUUAGUUGGGAUGGUAGGAUACAUAAAGUUAUUUAAUUUAUACCUGUUGUUACCUAGGAUAAACCAUUUCUAUUACUUUAUUAAAAAUGAAUAUGUGUAAAGCUAGGUUAUACAUGUUUUGAAAGGCUGUAAUAUUUGCGAUUUUUGUUAACAUUUAAUUUAAAACUUUUAAAAAUAAAAAAUACUACAUUGCACUCAAUUUUUUUUUUGAACACUAAGUAGGACUUAUUAAACUUGUUAAAUUUUCA